rnacentral:rRNA from 1 species
GAUAAACGCUGGCGGCGUGCCUUAUGCAUGCAAGUCGUACGUGAGACCGGCUUCGGCCGGUUGAAAGUGGCGAACGGGUGAGUAACACGUAGGAACCUGCCCGGAAGUGGGGGAUAACUCCGCGAAAGCGGGGCUAAUACCGCAUGUGGUCGCAAGACCAAAGCUUCGGCGCUUCCGGAGGGGCCUGCGGCGGAUUAGCUAGUUGGUGGGGUAACGGCCUACCAAGGCGACGAUCCGUAGCUGGUCUGAGAGGAUGGUCAGCCACACUGGAACUGAGACACGGUCCAGACUCCUACGGGAGGCAGCAGCAAGGAAUUUUGCGCAAUGGGCGAAAGCCUGACGCAGCAACGCCGCGUGGGGGAUGAAGGCCUUCGGGUUGUAAACCCCUUUUGCGAGGGAAGAAGAUCUGACGGUACCUCGCGAAUAAGCCACGGCUAACUACGUG